rnacentral:rRNA from 1 species
UGCAUGGUUGUCGUCAGCUCGUGUCGUGAGAUGUGGUUAAGUCCGCAACGAGCGCAACCCUACGUUUAGUUGCUAACGCGCGAAGGCGAGCACUCUAGACGAACUGCCGUUGACAAAACGGAGGAAGGUGGGGAUGACGUCAAAUCAUCAUGCCCCUUAUGUUCUGGGCUACACACGUGCUACAAUGGCCGGUACAGACGGACGCAAAGCCGCGAGGUGGAGCAAAUCCUAAAAAGCCGGUCUCAGUUCGGAUUGCAGGCUGCAAUUCGCCUGCAUGAAGUCGGAAUCGCUAGUAAUCGCAGGUCAGCAUACUGCGGUGAAUACGUUCCCGGGCCUU